rnacentral:rRNA from 1 species
GGAUGUUGCGUAAAGGGAAAGGUCGUAGUCAAACCCCACAGCCACGCGAACUCUAAGUCAGCCACGAAUAGGCUAUCCCAACUAACGGCGGGAAAGACUCCACGGAGGGUGUAAGACCCGUGUGGGCGCGUGUCAAAGCUGUGCGGGCUCGGCCUCUAUUCCCUGAGAGUCGCGUUGCUUGAGCAUGCAGCGCUAAGCAGGUCGUAAACUCGAUCUAAGGCUAAAUAUCUCCACAGAACCGAUAGCGAACAAGUACCGUGAGGGAAAGUUGAAAAGCACUCUGGAGAGAGAGUCAAAAGACCGUGAAACCGCUCAGAGUAUAAGCCCAUGGCAGCUUGGAAGGCAUAUCGCUAGCGGGGCAUCGGUCUUCCUUCACGGGGAGCUGGUGUUACCUUGCUUCUGUUGUGGCUCGUUAUGGUAGGGGGGUCAAGUCCACAUCCCGCCGUCGUGUGGGGGGUUCUUGGGUGUGUUGUGGUUUUUCGGUUGGUUUCGGCCGGCCGGAGGGCUCUUCGUGCUCGGUUCCUCUUUAGACACGGACGUUCAGACUCAGAGGCAAGACGCGAUAAACAGCCCACCACGGCACGUUGUGAGGUCACUCACAGGCUCGACUUUCGAUCGCGAACCUUGACGCCGAGCAAGCACAAUGCGUGUCGCUGAGGUUCCUAACCAGGCAAAACGCUGCCAGGAUCGUGGAACGACACGCGCUCAACAGUCAGGUUCGGGCGGAGACAGAGUUCUGGUAUGAUCCUCUUGCGACGAGCCGGCUUCUGGCCAACAUCCGAUGCUCAGGUCUCCCGCAUGUGCCGCGGGAGAUCGCCUUGACGGUCUGGAUCUUUCACGAGUCCUCUCAGUCGGGCAACGGAUAGAGUGGUGUAAAGUCCAAGCCCAUCGGUCACGUCUCGAAACACGGGCCAAGGAGUAUAGCAUGUGUGCAAGUCUAAGAGUCUCACAAAACUCGAAGGCGAAGUGAAAGCAAGUAAGCGGCGGGUGAUCUACGGAGAGAUCCCGUCAGCUAGAGGGGCUCUCGGGCCUCU